rnacentral:rRNA from 1 species
AGAGUACGUGAAACCGUUCAGGGGUAAACCUGAGAAACCCGAAAGGUCGAAAGGGGAGAUUCAGCGUGUCUCGAUUGCGGCGCUGGACGGUCGUGCGACGGAAGACGUACGCGUCAUCCGCACCUUCCGUGCUCCGAACCGUAUUCGAACGCGUGCACUUCUCCCCCUGUAGGACGUCGCGAUCCGUUGGGUGCCGGUCUAAGGCCCGCAAUGGAGCCCGUUCGGACGGUUUACCGUUCCGGACGAACUUGCGGUGUUUCCCGGUCGGCUCGCUCGACGGUAUACAGAUGGCGCGGGGCCGCUACAUUAGUUAGCGUCCGACCGGCGGCAAGCGCGCUCGUCGUGACGGUGAUCGGACCUGGUGCCGGUCCUGUCCCCGAGUGGCUGUUCGCUGCCGUGUUCUCGGACAGACCUCGUCGAAACGCCGAUCUGCGACGCUAUAGCUUUGGGUACUUUCAGGACCCGUCUUG